UCACACUUAUAUACAAACGUCUGAUCAUCACCACAAGCACAGAAAAAUGAAGCCUGUCGUAGUGCCCACCCUUUUCCUGCUUUUGCUUCUAAUCUACGGAGGUGGUCAUGUGGAAGUAAAGGCACAGAAGAGGUGCACGCAGACAAUACCGCCGCCGGGAGAAGAUAUGUGCAAUGAGGGAGUGUGCAUUGCCGAGUGUAAGAAGAGAUUUGGGAGAAGCGCUGAAGGACGUUGCCCCAUAAUUGAUACUUGCUUUUGCACCUAUGACUGUUCUCAUCUUACAUAAACUUUCAAAUUAAGUUCAACUAUGGUUGAUUGAUAUUUGACAUGGGUUUAACUAUAGUCAAAA